rnacentral:rRNA from 1 species
GACGAACGCUGGCGGCGUGCUUAACACAUGCAAGUCGAACGAGAGCGUAGAGAAAGCUUGCUUUUUCUACAAUCUAGUGGCAAACGGGUGAGUAACGCGUAAACAACCUGCCCUACGGAUGGGGACAACAGCUGGAAACGGCUGCUAAUACCGAAUACGUUCCGAAAGUCGCAUGACUAUCGGAAGAAAGGAUGGCCUCUAUUUAUAAGCUAUCGCCGGAGGAGGGGUUUGCGUCUGAUUAGCUAGUUGGAGGGGUAACGGCCCACCAAGGCGACGAUCAGUAGCCGGUCUGAGAGGAUGAACGGCCACAUUGGAACUGGGACACGGUCCAGACUCCUACGGGAGGCAGCAGUGGGGAAUCUUCCGCAAUGGGCGAAAGCCUGACGGAGCAACGCCGCGUGAGUGAAGACGGCCUUCGGGUUGUAAAGCUCUGUUAUACGGGACGAAUAAUCUUGUGGUUAAUACCCAUGAGAAGUGACGGUACCGUAAGAGAAAGCCACGGCUAACUACGUG